rnacentral:rRNA from 1 species
GACGAACGCUGGCGGCGUGCUUAACACAUGCAAGUCGAACGAAGUGUCGAACGGUUGAGUAACGCGUAAUCAACCUGCCCUUCAGAGGGGGAUAACAGUUGGAAACGACUGCUAAUACCGCAUACUGAAGGGGGGGAUUGCGUCUGAUUCGCUAGUUGGAGGGGUAACGGCCCACCAAGGCGAUGAUCAGUAGCCGGUCUGAGAGGAUGAACGGCCACAGCGGGACUGGGGCACGGGCCAGAGUGCGACGGGAGGCAGCAGUGGCGGAACGUCGGCAAGUGACGAAAGUCUGACGGAGUAACGCCGGGGGAGGGAUGACGGCCUUAAGGUUGUAAAGAUCUGUUAAUCGGGACGCGGUACCGUUAUAGAAAGCCACGGCUAACUACGUGCCAGCAGCCGCGGUAAUAC